AUUUUCUUAUGUGGUAGUAUAAAGAGAUCAAAGACAGAUAGACACUUCAUAACAUGAGAAAUCUGCUUACAAUUAUGGAGAAUCCAGGUCAUCUAUCUUCUGAAAUAUGUAGCAUUAUAGUUUACAGAGUUGCCAGAUUGUAAUCCCGAUUUCACACAUUCAGCGACGAUCUUUGUAGGCAAGAGAAUAAAAGAACAGUUCCAAUGUCCCCAGUAUUGCAAUUGUUUAAUCUAUUCAAAGUACAAGGGCCAUAACUUAAUAAAUGGAGAAUGUGUCCAUGAAUAUCAGAGGACAAUGCUGGCACAUCAAGUUAUAAACUGAAGGACUGUAAAAGUGAAGAUAUCCAAAUUUGUAAUUGUGAUCAGAGUUCUAUUGUAAUAAGUAUUGUGUAUAAGUUCCAUGGCAUUUGUUUGAAGUUAACUUAAGUUAGGGAAUUAAAACGAAAAAUUCAGCAAUGUUUCCAUUUGUAAAGGGGCAUAACU
rnacentral:lncRNA from 1 species